UGGAAAUGUUUGAGGGUGAGAGUGUC
rnacentral:piRNA from 1 species